GAUCACAAAGCAUUACAGAGAGGAGUACAAGUACAGCUGGUUGCUGCGCAUACAGACUAAAGGCAGAAAUUCUAGUGAUCAGUCUAGAUCAGUACAAACUAUAAAAUGAAUGAGGAUAUUUAUGCUAAUGCAGAUAUAAUUGAAAUACAUACAAAAUGCACAUCCAGCCAAGGAGAACAGACUCCAAAGCGAACUCAACAUUCAGGAUCUGAUCCCACAGGGAGACGAUGCUACCGACUGGCUAUAGUGUUUCUUGGGAUAUUGUGUUUUCUCCUGCUGACGGCUGUCAUAGUGCAGUCUGCUUAUAAUAACAGACUCCUAGGGGAAGCUAAGAGGAACAAAGCUGAAAUGGCUCAGAUAUUUUCAUAUCUCACCUCCAAUUACAGUGAGAAUCUGCGGCUGCAAACCAGCUACAGC